rnacentral:rRNA from 1 species
GGGACGAACGCUGGCGGCGUGCUUAACACAUGCAAGUCGAGCGGAAAGGCCACUUCGGUGGUACUCGAGCGGCGAACGGGUGAGUAACACGUGAGUAAUCUGCCCUUGGCUUUGGGAUAGCCACCGGAAACGGUGAUUAAUACCGGAUAUGACUGCUCCUCGCAUGAGGUGUGGUGGAAAGUUUUUCGGCCAGGGAUGUGCUCGCGGCCUAUCAGCUUGAUGGUGAGGUAAUGGCUCACCAUGGCUUCGACGGGUAGCCGGCCUGAGAGGGUGACCGGUCACACUGGGACUGAGACACGGCCCAGACUCCUACGGGAGCGGCAGUGGGAAUAUUGGACGAAUGGG